UUAGUAACUUGUCCAGAGAACAGAUACCAAAGUAACACUUGAAUUUACUAGAAACUAAUGAUUGCAUGAUUUAUAUUAUAAUUCUUAAAUUUCUAUGAAAAACUACACCACAAUGAAAAGUGAAAGAGUUUUUUGGCUGUGGACAGCGGCUCUGUUGUUAUUGUGUAUUCCAAAUAAAGCUGAUUUGGAAAUUGAUAUUCUGAAAUAUCAUAUGUUAAGACAAAACCAUGGUUACCCCAACCUUAAUCUGGAUCGCGAUCCAAGCGCUGAAUGUAAAACAUAUGCCAAUGAGCUGGUAAUACAAGAUUCAUUGGAACGCUCAAAGUCAAUAGGCAGCAUAUGGGAAAAAUAUAUGCAUCACACCAAAAAAAAAGGACUUCUUGUACAGGAAAGUUGUACAGUGAAAGCACCUGCUAGCGAACAU